rnacentral:rRNA from 1 species
CCUACGGGAGGCAGCAGUGGGGAAUCUUGCGCAAUGGGCGCAAGCCUGACGCAGCGACGCCGCGUGAGGGAUGAAGGUCAUCGGAUCGUAACCCUCUGUCAGCAGGGAAGAACGGUCACUGUGCUAAUCAGAAGUGCAUUGACGGUAACUGCAAAGGAAGCACCGGCUAACUCCGUGGCAGCAGCCGCGGUAAUACGGAGGGUGCGAGCGUUACUCGGAAUUACUGGGCGUAAAGCGCUCGUAGGCGGUAUGUCAAGUCAAGGGUGAAAUCCCCGCGCUCAACGUGGUAACUGCCUUUGAAACUGGCAAACUGGAGUGUGUGAGAGGAUAGUGGAAUUCCAGGUGUAGGAGUGAAAUCCGUAGAUAUCUGGAGGAACAUCAGUGGCGAAGGCGACUAUCUGGCACAUAACUGACGCUGAGGAGCGAAAGCGUGGGUAGCAAACAGGAUUAGAUACCCUGGUAGUC